rnacentral:rRNA from 1 species
ACGCUCGACACCUACGGGUGGCAGCAGUCGGGAAUAUUGCGCAAUGGAGGGAACUCUGACGCAGUGACGCCGCGUAUAGGAAGAAGGUUUUCGGAUUGUAAACUAUUGUCGUUAGGGAAGAGAAAGGACAGUACCUAAGGAGGAAGCUCCGGCUAACUACGUGCCAGCAGCAGCGGUAAUCUGAGCGGGCUGGCAAGGC